rnacentral:rRNA from 1 species
CUACGGGAGGCAGCAGUGGGGAAUAUUGGACAAUGGGCGCAAGCCUGAUCCAGCCAUGCCGCGUGCGGGAUGACGGCCUUCGGGUUGUAAACCGCUUUCAGCAGGGAAGAAGCGCAAGUGACGGUACCUGCAGAAGAAGCACCGGCCAACUACGUGCCAGCAGCCGCGGUAAUACGUAGGGUGCGAGCGUUGUCCGGAAUUACUGGGCGUAAAGAGCUCGUAGGUGGUUUGUCGCGUUGUUCGUGAAAACUCACAGCUUAACUGUGGGCGUGCGGGCGAUACGGGCAGACUGGAGUACUGCAGGGGAGACUGGAAUUCCUGGUGUAGCGGUGGAAUGCGCAGAUAUCAGGAGGAACACCGGUGGCGAAGGCGGGUCUCUGGGCAGUAACUGACGCUGAGGAGCGAAAGCGUGGGGAGCGAACAGGAUUAGAAACCCCAGUAGUCC